UUGUGGUAUGUGAAGAAAUGUGGACUCUCCUGGAACACGCUGGCACUCAGUCAUUAGUAAGAUUGAUACCAAUAGGCAUGUGAUGGAGGAUGCUGCUAAAAAGGCCCAAACAAUGAGACCCAAUGAUCUUGGGUCUUGCCUAUGGACCAGCAGCCCUAACCAUCUAUUACAGAUUUACAUUCCCAUGCAAUAUUGGAGCAACAAUAUACCAAGUCUUGCGGACUGAAACUCAAAAUAAGUAACCAGGCAAAAGGAAGGAGACAGGAGGAAGAGCAAAAGGGCACUUAAACAGCGGGCAAGCAGUUUUAAUCAGCCUUCCUGGAAUUUCCACAUAAUAUUUCUGCUUACAAAUCCUUGGCCAGAACUUAGUCUCAAGGUCACACCAAGCUGCAAAGGAGGUUGGGAAAUACAAGCUAGGAUAUGUUCCCAGAUAAAAAUUGGGGAUCUGAUCUAAAGCAAAUGGAAGAAAGUUGAUUUGGGAUAAAAAAUCACGAGUCGGUCACAGUUUGCUCUUUGCCUGCCCUAAAUCAUAUACCUCCUCUUUUCUACAACAGACCACACUUUACUUCUUAUAAC